rnacentral:tRNA from 1 species
GAUGUGGUGCCUGAUUAAAGGGUAGUUUUGAUAGAACUAAUUAUGUAUAAUAUACUCACAUUA